GUUUGAUCCUGGCUCAGGACGAACGCUGGCGGCGUGCCUAAUACAUGCAAGUAGAACGCUGAAGAGAGGAGCUUGCUCUUCUUGGAUGAGUUGCGAACGGGUGAGUAACGCGUAGGUAACCUGCCUUGUAGCGGGGGAUAACUAUUGGAAACGAUAGCUAAUACCGCAUAACAAUGGAUGACACAUGUCAUUUAUUUGAAAGGGGCAAUUGCUCCACUACAAGAUGGACCUGCGUUGUAUUAGCUAGUAGGUGAGGUAACGGCUCACCUAGGCGACGAUACAUAGCCGACCUGAGAGGGUGAUCGGCCACACUGGGACUGAGACACGGCCCAGACUCCUACGGGAGGCAGCAGUAGGGAAUCUUCGGCAAUGGGGGCAACCCUGACCGAGCAACGCCGCGUGAGUGAAGAAGGUUUUCGGAUCGUAAAGCUCUGUUGUAAGUCAAGAACGAGUGUGAGAGUGGAAAUUUC
rnacentral:rRNA from 1 species